UUAAGUUCAGCGGGUAUUCCUACCUGAUCCGAGGUCAACAUUCAGAAGUUGGGGUUUAACGGCGUGGCCGCGACGAUUACCAGUAACGAGGGUUUUACUACUACGCUAUGGAAGCUCGACGUGACCGCCAAUCAAUUUGAGGAACGCGAAUUAACGCGAGUCCCAACACCAAGCUGUGCUUGAGGGUUGAAAUGACGCUC
rnacentral:misc_RNA from 1 species